rnacentral:rRNA from 1 species
GCCGCGUGAGUGAAGAAGGCCUUCGGGUUGUAAAGCUCUUUUGUCAGGGAAGAAACGGGAUGUCCUAAUACGAUGUCCUAAUGACGGUACCUGAAGAAUAAGCACCGGCUAACUACGUGCCAGCAGCCGCGGUAAUACGUAGGGUGCAAGCGUUAAUCGGAAUUACUGGGCGUAAAGCGUGCGCAGGCGGUUAUGUAAGACAGGUGUGAAAUCCCCGGGCUUAACCUGGGAAUGGCAUUUGUGACUGCAUAGCUAGAGUGUGUCAGAGGGGGGUAGAAUUCCACGUGUAGCAGUGAAAUGCGUAGAGAUGUGGAGGAAUACCGAUGGCGAAGGCAGCCCCCUGGGAUAACACUGACGCUCAUGCACGAAAGCGUGGGGAGCAAACAGGAUUAGAUACCCUGGUAGUCCACGCCCUAAACGAUGUCUACUAGUUGUCGGGUCUUAAUUGACUUGGUAACGCAGCUAACGCGUGAAGUAGACCGCCUGGGGAGUACGGUCGCAAGAUUAAAACUCAAAGGAAUUGACGGGGACCCGCACAAGCGGUGGAUGAUGUGGAUUAAUUCGAUGCAACGCGAAAAACCUUACCUACCCUUGACAUGUACAGAAUCCCGAAGAGAUUUG